ACAUUUUUAUCAUUGCGAUUAAUUUCGCCAAUACAUACAUAAGGAGAAUCUGCCAAGGUUAUCAUAUGUACCCUUUCAACGAUAUUACAAGGUUACAAAAUACUUAAAACUUUUAGAUCAGUUACAGUGCUACAAUUCAUAUAUAUAUAUAUUAGUAAUCCGUGCAUUAUUAUCCGUAUAUUACAAUUUCUGCAUUACAGCUCUUAUAUUACAACUUUUGCAUUAUUACGAUCCAUGCAUUACAAACCCUAUAUUACAAUCCGUAAACGACCCCUAACAGGAUAUAUAACCAAAGGAAAAUAGGAAACAGAAGGACAAUACAAGCACCUACUAGAGAAUAACAAUUUAGACUAAGUACGAAUGACUUAUUAGCUUUAAGAAACAAGAUUCCUAGUUUGAUUUGACCGUAGAAUUAUCGUCGUGGAGCUUUCUGUUACUGUUCUUCUCUGUCAUCAGAGUCUCUUUCUUGUCUUUGUAAUUGUUGUUUUGUGGUGGUUUAGUUUUUACCGGUGGCCUUGGCGGCCUCCUUAUUGUAUGAGUAUUUAGGCAUCUUCUGCAAAUCAAACACGAACAAUCCAACAAGUCAAGAAGAAAUGUCAGCCAAAGGUAAUUCAUGAAUUUUAAUAAGGGAAAUUAAUACACAAAUUUGCUCUUCUGCUGGACGAAAUAUCGACAAGUGAUAGGCUUGCUCAGUUGGUAAAAUCACAUUCACCCACGAUCUUUAGGUCCUAGAUUCGAGUUAUGCUAGAGGGUAAGUGUGAAAACACUAUAGAUCCUUCUAUUAAAAAAAACAGACGAAAUAUUUUAAUUCCAUAAUAAAUUGAGAUAAUUCAUUCUGUUAACAUAUUGUCUCGUUUCAUCCCUUGGCUUCUAGCAUGGAUUCUACGUGUAAAAAGACUUUAGGAAAAAUGUCCGAAUUUACUUCUCUACUUUUGACUUAUGGUUUAAAAUUGUCCUCAACAUCAAUAAGGAACUCCUUAAUGAGUAAGGGAAAAUAUGAGACGAUUUUCUAACAGAAAGGAUACUAUGAGUUAUGACUCCAAAGUAUAAUGAAGGUAAAUGAAGAUAUUUUAUAUAUUUUUACCCUUUUUCCUUUAAAUAAAGAUGAUAUAAUCUUGCAUGUUGGCAUGCAAUUUUUAAAGAAAGAAACCUAGGAUAUAACUCACAUGGCUAUUAUUGUCUUGAGUAGACACGGCUUGAAGCUAGGAAAUAUUACCCUGGAUUUGGACACUAUGCUACAAGGAAAAGCCAUUAGCAAAAAGUUUGCUUGGAAGAGGAAGCAGUAAUCUUGUACAAGGCAAGAAGAUUGUGAUAUAUAAAGAGCAAUAUUUCACACUGUGUGAUCAAUGUAGAAAGCAAUCAUUCACCACUAAAAAAGAAAAGAAAGACUUUACUUUUGGUGAAAGAGACAUUAGUCUUUAGUGGCUUUCAUUUUCGAAAGGCUUUUAAAUCUUGGACAGCUAUAAUAUGUAUACAUUUCUUACGCCAUCAAGAUAUUGUAACAACAGUCAACUUUUCAC
rnacentral:lncRNA from 1 species